AACGAACGCUGGCGGCAUGCCUAACGCAUGCAAGUCGAACGAGACCUUCGGGUCUAGUGGCGCACGGGUGCGUAACGCGUGGGAACCUGCCCUUAGGUUCGGAAUAACUCCCCGAAAGGGGUGCUAAUACCGGAUAAUGUCUUCGGACCAAAGAUUUAUCGCCUUUGGAUGGGCCCGCGUUGGAUUAGCUAGUUGGUAGGGUAAAAGCCUACCAAGGCGACGAUCCAUAGCUGGUCUGAGAGGAUGAUCAGCCACACUGGGACUGGGACACGGCCCAGACUCCUACGGGAGGCAGCAGUGGGGAAUAUUGGACAAUGGGCGAAAGCCUGAUCCAGCAAUGCCGCGUGAGUGAUGAAGGCCUUAGGGUUGUAAAGCUCUUUUACCCGGGAUGAUAAUGACAGUACCGGGAGAAUAAGCUCCGGCUAACUCC
rnacentral:rRNA from 1 species